UUGGAGGGCAGUCUGGUGCAGCAGCCGCGGUAAUUCCAGCUCCAAUAGCGUAUAUUAAAGUUGUUGCAGUUAAAAAGCUCGUAGUUGAAUUUCGGGAUUCAUCCGUUGGUCGGGCUUCACGGUCCGUACUGGUGUGAUGGGUUCCUACCUUCUGAAUAACCGGCAUGCCAUUAAUUUGGUGCGCCGGGGAAGCAGAACUAUUACCUUGAAAAAAUUAGAGUGCUUAAAGCAGGCAAGUGCCUGAAUAGGUUAGCAUGGAAUAAUAAAAUAGGACGGCAUGGUUCUAUUUUGUUGGUUUCUAGGAUCACCGUAAUGAUUAAUAGGGAUAGUUGGGGGCAUUAGUAUUCAAUUGUCAGAGGUGAAAUUCUUGGAUUUAUUGAAGACUAACUUCUGCGAAAGCAUUUGCCAAGGAUGUUUUCAUUAAUCAAGAACGAAAGUUAGGGGAUCGAAGACGAUCAGAUACCGUCGUAGUCUUAACCAUAAACUAUGCCGACUAGGGAUCGGACGAUGUUAAUUUUUUAAUGACUCGUUCGGCGCCUUACGGGAAAC
rnacentral:rRNA from 1 species